rnacentral:lncRNA from 1 species
AGUUAUGCGGCUAAAAUAACCAAUAAGGGACUGCUUGGUUAGAUGUAAUUAUAAAUGUAGUGCAGUUAGAGAUGCAUGUAGUUAAAAAUGCAGCAGUUACAACUACAUACAUUCUGUUUGGUUGGAUAUAGUAGAGAGCGCUGCAAGUAUAAAUAUUUUGUUUGGUUGCAUGCAGCUGAGAAAUAAUUUUUAAAAUUUUAUCAUUUUAUAUAUAUGAUGGUGAGAUUACCUCCAAUGUAAAAAAGGAAAAUAAUUUUUGUUUAAAAAAUAAUUGAGCAGGUAAGCAUACUUUUUAUUUAAAAUUACUCUCUCCAACUGCUGCAGUUGGAACUGUGGCCAAUUUGGACGUAGUUCGAACGGCUGCAUUUGAGCCUCCUCCUACAGUUCCUACUGCAGUAGUUGGAGUUAAAUAUAUCAAACCAAACACCAAAUUUGCAUUUGCAUGCAGUUACAACUGCAGUGCAGUUGUAACUACAUGCAACCAAACGGCCCCUAAGAGUAUGUCAAGUGACAAUAAUCUAGAAAUCUGCCUAUGAUUCAGGUGUCGAACAAAUUCUAGACCCUCAUGCGGGCAUCUAUCAAAUCCAAAUAGUAAAACACAUAUAAAAGUAAUUAAAUCAUUCAAGAUAAAAAAAAAAGAAAAAACUUCAAAAACCCCCCUGUGGUUUCGUAGUUUCUCACUUUGCCCCCUUGUGGUUUAAAAUGUAUCAAAUUGCCCCCCUGUGGUUUCGUUUUUAUCUUUUCGAUAGCUUUUUCGUUAAUAUUUCAUUAAAUUAUAUACAAAAAACUUCAGAUACCCAUCUAGAUUUAUCAAAUAUUCACUUUAGUACCCUUUAAUUUUAACUUUAUCACCGAUUUAAGAAAAAAAAAAAUAAAUUGAUAAGAAAAAGAGAAAAAAGAAACCAUAGGGGUGCAAAUUAAUACAUUGUAAACCACGUGGGGGAAAAAUGAGAAACUACGAAACCACGGGGGGGUUUUUGAAGUUUUCCCAAAAAAAAAAA